CACUCCCAGGUGAUCUCUGCUCCGCCAUGGCCUCCUGACUUGUGGUGGUAACUUGCUCCGUUCUGGUCAACUGCUCCACCAGCUCCACCGUGCUGGUCAUCUGCUCCACCAUAGGGAUCCUCGGUCCCACCUGGUCCAGGCCUAGUCCUCUCUCAUCUUGCACUGUCGUCACUCCUCCUUUUAUCCUUCAGGAGCUCCUCUGUGGGACAGGAGACCGGAGAAGAUGCUGUCUGCUCUGACUUUCCAAGAGACUAACUCCACAGUCAGCCUUAGGAUCCUGCUUUCCCGAGAGAAGUGUAUGUCAGAUGGUGGUUGCACAGGCUCUGAACUAUGGCUGCUCUCUAUCUUUCUGAGGUUAACAGUAUCUCUCCUAGCUGCUUGAUGUCAUAAGCACUUAAAUUUAUGGCUUAUGAAUCAUAAAGAUGUAUAGCCGUAAUCUUAGUCUGUGUUCACAGAAAGAGAAAUUAAGGAAGUCUGCAUCUACUUCAGCUGCUUCAUCUCAAAAGAGAAUUGGGACUGGAUUUGAAAUGACAUAGGUGACUGGAUCAGCAGAAAGACAAAGAGAUUCAUGAUUGUGCUUUGAUUUACAGGAAUGUUCCCAUAAUGCACUGCAGUACUGGGGUCACCUUAGAGUGUACCAUAAAGCAGAGUAUUUAAACAGAGCUUUCAGUGGAUUUGAGUUUAACAAUGUGAAUUUACACCUUUGUGGACAGAUGGGAUUUUUUUAGAUCUCUGGUCUUUUGUGUGUCAGGAUACUCCCACUGCACUAGAGACUAAAAAUGCCAACAAAGAGGUAAAAAAACUCCUCCAAAUGAUCUAAAUCAAAUUCACAAACAUGCCAUUGUAUGCACACAAUGAAAAAACAAUCAACCUUAGUUAAGACAGCACAUGUACUGUAAAAACCCCUGUGUGUGCUGAAUAUUCUCAUUUGCUCUGAUGUGUGAGAUUUGAAACCUAAGAAACUUAAUUCUCAGAGAGAGUGUAAAUCUCAUUAAUGAUAAAUGAAACCCUGAGAACUGCCUCACUGUGGGAUUCUCAGUUUCAGUUUCACUUUAGAGUGCUUUAUUGCAGUGUUUCCCAACCUUUUUGGUCUUUUGUACCUCCACAUUCCCAUUAGUAAGGCACAAAUGCACCAAACCCCAAA